rfam:Otolemur garnettii contig162489, whole genome shotgun sequence.
CCAAAGGCUCUUUUCAGAGCCACUUCAGUUGUCGUGAAAGUGGCUGU